CCUACGGGGGGCAGCAGUGAGGAAUAUUGGUCAAUGGACGAGAGUCUGAACCAGCCAAGUCGCGUGAAGGAUGACUGCCCUAUGGGUUGUAAACUUCUUUUAUCUGGGAAUAAAACGUUCCACGUGUGGGAUUUUGUAUGUACCCUAUGAAUAAGGAUCGGCUAACUCCGUGCCAGCAGCCGCGGUAAUACGGAGGAUCCGAGCGUUAUCCGGAUUUAUUGGGUUUAAAGGGAGCGUAGGUGGAUUGUUAAGUCAGUUGUGAAAGUUUGCGGCUCAACCGUAAAAUUGCAGUUGAAACUGGCAGUCUUGAGUACAGUAGAGGUGGGCGGAAUUCGUGGUGUAGCGGUGAAAUGCUUAGAUAUCACGAAGAACUCCGAUUGCGAAGGCAGUUCACUGGACUGCAACUGACACUGAGGCACGAAAGUGUGGGUAUCAAACAGGAUUAGAUACCCGGGUAGUC
rnacentral:rRNA from 1 species